rnacentral:rRNA from 1 species
CUUUUUCUGGAGGUACCGUCCGGGUAGUUACCCACCCCAUCUUUCCUCCUAAAAGGGGUUUACAAUCCGAAAACCUUCUUCCCCCACGCGGCGUCGCUGCGUCAGGCUUUCGCCCAUUGCGCAAUAUUCCUCA